GCUCUCCAGCAGAUGGACCUGGGCAAUCUGACACUCAGAGGGUGAGAGUCCAUGAUGUGGGAGUGAAGGAACACCCGAGAGCUCACCUCUUGAUCUACAACCAGGAGGCACAGAAGUGCAGGCAUGCUGGGAAGUGCAGGAGCCUUUUGAAACCCCACAGCCCACACCCAGGGACACAUCUCCUCCAACAAGACACAAUACUUCCUAAACCUAAACACUCCUACUGAUUAGUGACCAAAUCCUCGACUAUAUGAAUGAGCUAAUGGGGCUAUUCUCUCUCAAACCAACUGCCCUUUUCAUCUUCUGUUAUCACUGCAGUGGCCUCUGUCUGUUAUCACUGCAGGGGGCUGAGGAUCCACCCACAGAAUUCUGCUGUUUCCUGAAAUUGCUGCAGUCUAGGAGGUAAAAUAGUAGCUACUCGUUUGGACAUUUAAUCCUUGUAUACUUUUGUGUAGGACAGCCUCUUUACUGAAAAACUAGAAUUGUGCUUCCUGCACGGUGCCUUGCUUAUAUCAAACAUGAAUAUCUAAUGUGUGAAGAAAUCACUAAGCACCUUAACCUAUGGGAGAGAAAUAUCAAAUAGCCAUUUUGAUUAUAUACAUUUGAAUUGUUAAGUGUUUUAAACACAAAGGAGCAUAGACUAUGAACUACUAACACUAAGUACCUAGAUUUAACAGACGAGGAACUUUGUCAUGUUUCACCUUCAGAAAAGGGAGGAUUGAAAAAUGCAAUACCAUUUUCCUUAUAAAAUAUUCUCCCAGGGAUGGAGAGGCGCUUCAGUGGUGAAGAGCACUUGCUGCUCUUAUAAAGGACCAGGGUUCUGAUCCUAGCACCCACAUGGUGGCUCACAAGCAUCUGCAG
rnacentral:lncRNA from 1 species